rnacentral:rRNA from 1 species
UUGUUGGUAAGGUAAAAGCUUACCAAGGCUUCGAUCAGUAGCUGGUCUGAGAGGACGACCAGCCACACUGGGACUGAGACACGGCCCAGACUCCUACGGGAGGCAGCAGUGGGGAAUUUUGGACAAUGGGGGCAACCCUGAUCCAGCCAUGCCGCGUGAGUGAAGAAGGCCUUCGGGUUGUAAAGCUCUUUCAGCCGGAACGAAACGGUUACGGAUAACACCCGUGGCUACUGACGGUACCGGAAGAAGAAGCACCGGCUAACUACGUGCCAGCAGCCGCGGUAAUACGUAGGGUGCGAGCGUUAAUCGGAAUUACUGGGCGUAAAGCGUGCGCAGGUGGUUUUGUAAGUCAGAUGUGAAAGCCCCGGGCUCAACCUGGGAACUGCGUUUGAAACUACAAGACUAGAGUGUGGCAGAGGGGGGUGGAAUUCCGCGUGUAGCAGUGAAAUGCGUAGAGAUGUGGAGGAACACCGAUGGCGAAGGCAGCCCCCUGGGUCAACACUGACGCUCAGGCACGAAAGCAUGGGGAGCAAACAGGAUUAGAUACCCUGGUAGUCCAUGCCCUAAACGAUGUCAACUAGUUGUCGGGCCUUUACGGGCUUGGUAACGUAGCUAACGCGUGAAGUUGACCGCCUGGGGAGUACGAUCGCAAGAUUAAAACUCGAAUGAAUUGACGGGGACCCGCACAAGCGGUGGAUUAUGUGGAUUAAUUCGAUGCAACGCGAAAAACCUUACCUACCCUUGACAUGUAUCGAAGCCCGCAGAAAAGCGGGGGUGCCCGAAAGGGAACGAUAACACAGGUGCUGCAUGGCUGUCGUCAGCUCGUGUCGUGAGAUGUUGGGUUAAGUCCCGCAACGAGCGCAACCCUUGUCAUUAAUUGCCAUCAUUUAGUUGGGCACUUUAAUGAGACUGCCGG